UACGUAGGGGGCAAGCGUUGUCCGGAAUCAUUGGGCGUAAAGAGCGUGUAGGCGGCUCGAUAAGUCUGCUGUGAAAGUCCAGGGCUCAACCCUGGAAGGCCGGUGGAAACUGUCGGGCUAGAGUCCGGAAGAGGCGAGUGGAAUUCCUGGUGUAGCGGUGAAAUGCGCAGAUAUCAGGAAGAACACCUAUGGCGAAGGCAGCACUCUGGGACGGUACUGACGCUGAGACGCGAAAGCGUGGGGAGCGAACAGG
rnacentral:rRNA from 1 species